GCCCCAGUGGCUCAAUUGGUUAAAGCGUGCGCAUCGUACGUGUGAAGACCCGGUUUGAUUCCGGCUCGGGUCA